ensembl:lncRNA
CAGCUGUUCUAAUUCUAUUGAUUCUAAUCCCGCCAUUUUAUUACUCACCCUAUUACACAGGCCUGAAGGUCACAGCAGCCAUUUUAUUACACACCCUAUUACACAGGUCUGAAGGUCACUGCAGCCAUUUUAUUACACACCCUAUUACACAGGUCUGAAGGUCACUGCAGCCAUUUUAUUACACACCCUAUUACACAGGUCUGAAGGUCACUGCAGCCAUUUUAUUACUCACCCUAUUACACAGGUCUGAAGGUCACUGCAGCCAUUUUAUUACUCACCCUAUUACACAGGUCUGAAGGUCACUGCAGCCAUUUUAUUACACACCCUAUUACACAGGCCUGAAGGUCACUGCAGCCAUUUUAUUA